UAAAAAAAAAAAUUAAAAAAAAAAACUCAAUCACUAAAAGGCUUAAGUAAUUUUUUCUUCAAUAGUUCUAUACAGUACAGAAACUCUUCCUCCUUUCACCAAAAAAUAAAAAAUCAGAAACUCUUCCUUCUAAAAAAAACCACGCAUAAGGAAAUUUUCAGAGAUUCAAGAAUUCAACCCUCAUUGUCGCUCUUCAUCUGCCUCUGCUGCGCGCCUGCGCCACCACGUCUCCUCCAAGCGUACAUGAGACUUGAGUUCGAUGCUAAGGCUAGGAGAGACUUUGACAAAAAAGUUGGGGACCGACUUAGGGGUACAUUGAACCAAGUUUUCAAAAUGCCUCUCCAUAAGAAGUUAAUUUCAUGAUUGACACUGUUCGAGCCGAAUUCAUAAAUAAGCGUAAGCGUCCAGAUUUUGUGAAACGUUGUGAGCAAGCAAGUGAUAAUCAGUUAUCUAGACAAAUAUUAGAGACAAUCGGUUAUCUAACUGACCUUUAAUUUUUGGAGGCAUAUUUGUAUAUCUUCAUUAAUUUUUAUUUGAAGUAGCUUCUUUGUGUAGGAGGUGAUUUUUGAAACAAUUAGUCAUAGUUUAGAAUACUGCUUUUUAGUACAAUUAUACAAAAUUGAGUAUAUUUAAAUAAAAUUAUCAUGUUGGUUAUUUAACUUUAUGCGUGGGUACCUUUUUUUGUGAUUGAUAUUGGUCGUUGGCUCGUUGCUAAAUUAUGGUCUCUAAAUAUUAAUAGCCAGUUGCAAAAAUUUUGCGACUGCAGAUUUGUUUUAGAGAAUGAUCGGUUAGUUGCAAAAUAAUUAGUCUCAAUGACUAAUUUGUCG